rnacentral:rRNA from 1 species
GAUGAACGCUAGCGACAGGCCUAACACAUGCAAGUCGAGGGGCAGCACAUGCGUAGCAAUACAAUGGUGGCGACCGGCGCACGGGUGAGUAACACGUAUGCAACCUACCUGUAAGAGGGGAAUAACCCGGAGAAAUUCGGACUAAUACCGCAUAAAACCACGAAUUCGCAUGGAUUUGUGUUUAAACAUUUAUGGCUUACAGAUGGGCAUGCGUAUGAUUAGCUAGUUGGUAGGGUAACGGCCUACCAAGGCAACGAUCAUUAGGGGUUCUGAGAGGAAGGUCCCCCACACUGGUACUGAGACACGGACCAGACUCCUACGGGAGGCAGCAGUGAGGAAUAUUGGUCAAUGGGCGAGAGCCUGAACCAGCCAAGUCGCGUGAAGGAAGAAGGUUCUAUGGAUUGUAAACUUCUUUUGUAAGGGAAUAAAAAGAGUUACGUGUAACUUAUUGUAUGUACUUUACGAAUAAGGAUCGGCUAACUCCGUGCCAGCCGCCGCAGUAACAC